AUGCCUUCUGAUAUUGGAAGCUCAAAAAAUGGGGCCUUUAAAUACCUCAAGGACCGACUAUGGAGCAAAGUACAAGGGUGGAUUGAAAAGACUAUGUCAUCGGCAGGAAAAGAGGUAUUGGUGAAGGUCGUUGCCCAAGUUGUGCCAGUGUUCUCUAUGUCGUGUUUCAAACUUCCUCGGGGUCUUUGCGAGCACCUAAAUAUGUUGAUUCGGAAGUUUUGGUGGGGAAGCAAAGAAGGGAAACGCAAACCACACUGGGUAUCAUGGAAAGCAAUGACACAACCCAAAUGCAUGGGAGGGCUUGGUUUUAAGGACUUUGAACUCUUCAACAUGGCACUGCUUGCCAAGCAGGCCUGGCGUUUACUGCAAUGUCCUGACUCAUUGAGUGCUCGGCUUCUAAAGAAUAUAUACUAUCCAAAUUGUUCUGUCCUUGAAGCGACUUUAGGGGGUCACCCCAGCCAAGUUUGGCGAGCCAUGAUCAAAGGAAGAGACACCCUCAAGCUGGGCUUGAUCAAGCGGAUAGGGAACGGCUCCUCAACCAAGAUCUAG
rnacentral:rRNA from 1 species